ensembl:lncRNA
GGACUUGAUCUGUGUGUGUCAUCCAGCAACUAUAGAACAGAGUAGGACUCACUCACACUCCUGCAGUAGUUGCAAAUAAACAAGCGUCAGGUUCUUAUAUGGCCCUUUUUGAUUUAUUUCCAUGUGUAUUAUUACAAACAGUUAUAAUUCCCUCUCUCUGCAUGCUGAAAAAUCAUGCAAAUUCUUUCACUCGUCGAGAGAUUUUUAAACAUAAAGUGUGGUAAUGAAACUGGUUUGGAUGUUGAAAAUGUUGGUUUUGUUUUCUUCCUCAAUUUUUUUUUUAAAUCUUUCAGCAACUAACUGUAAAGUUCAGGAAGGCAGUUACAUUUGUUGCUGUAUAAGUUGGAAGUUUUAAGUAAUAUGUGUAAAAAGGCAAAUGUUUUCAAUAAACUGAAGGGUUCCUUUAAUCUAAAUUCGUAUCUGUUUUAUUGCACUCAUUCCUAUUCAGAAUGUUGACUUCCUCAACUGAUUAUUCUAAAAACAACCACCAGGUGGCUUCACAAAGUUAUUUUGUCAUGUAUGGUAUAUAUAUUUUUUUAGAAUCUCUUGCAAAUGUUAAUAAUACAUAACUAGUAACUAAUGCAUAAUGUAAACACAAUUAUAAAAAUACCAUUUAUGAAUUAUUUGGGAAAAGAUGUCAUAGUUACUGGUGGUAGCUAACGAAAUGAUUUUUCUCCUAACCACACACGCCCACUUGCAUGAGUUUCUAAAAGACUCAUUUCCUAAAGCUGGUGUGAAAAAGCAGAAAUGGCUCAUGCAUCAACCUGUCUGACAAACAACUGAGAAUAUAUACACACAUCACAACGGCAAGAGAAAAUGCACCGUAGAGCCACAUUGUCAGGACCCCAGUGGGUACGGAAAUGCGCCAUGUUUGUGAGAGCGAUGAGCCUGGCAGACAUGUCCGGUAAGUGCCGCUCCGCUUCGCUAAUGCACUUCACACACAGGAUGGGAUCAACUCUGACUCCAUUUAUACAGUUAUGAACUGAGCAAGAGGAACAGUAAACUGAUAAAACACUGCAUUAAGAUGAUUCAGAUGCAUUUGACGAAACAGUGUUUGAACCCAUCCUCUUAACUUUGCAUGUUGCUUUCUCCUUACAGGGUCUCAUUCACUCACAAUUGUGGGUUUUUUUCUUUUCUACCCUCAUUCUACUGUUGAGAAAUCCAGACUAUUCUAAAUAAGGGAGGGGGUGUCUACAGCAAGAAAUUAACAUAAGUAAUUAGCAUGUCCAUGUAAGGGCUUUCGUACACCCUCUCCUGUACUAACCAUUUGUCAGUCUCUUCAAAUGCUUUUUUUUUUUUUUUUUUUUACGUGUCCAAUUUCAAAAAUAACUAAANGAAUUUAGACUUAGUAAGUGUCAUUUAGUUACUUUUUUAUUUUUAUAUUAUAUAACUAAGUUACAUCAAAUUUAUAGUCAAAUUUAAUUCAGUAACAUACUAUAUAAUGCUUCAUUAUAUUAUGUUGUAUUGUUAUAUUAAUUUUAUUAAUGUUGUUCUGUUUAUUGUGAAUUUCAAAUAAUUUCAAAUAAAUGUAAGUGAUAAAAUGAACUUGUAUAUCUAUUUUCACAUGAAAAUGGUUAAAACACAGGUUGUAAACAUAAAUACAUGCAUAUGCAUGGUUAGUGAAUGAGACUCAUUAUAUCUCUUGUUUGUGUGUGCAUGUUUUGUGAUCUGUGUCCCUUUUUUGCCUUCCCUUCUGUAUCUUACUUCUGAUGUCUGACUGAGUUGGAGCUCUUGUUUGUGAGUUGUCUGUGCGUAUCUUCUGGAGAGCAAGGGAAAAGACAGAUAAACUGUGUAUAGCAUCAACUGGUCAUUGAUUAUCGGAUGACCAGAAUAGGCUUUGUGUUCUGAUGUGUAAAUAUCCAGGUUCAGAUGGGAUUUUCAGAAGUUGUGGCCUCCAGAAAGGCAAAGCAUUUAUUUCAGAUGGAGGGAUAAGGAAAUGGUGAUCGCAUUUUAAAGUCACCAUGAAAUCAAAACUGACCCGAUUUACCUUCUUAAGGCAUAUUGCGUCUUAUCUCUUUGCAUUUUUGGCUGAUGUCAUCCUUUUUUAUUUUGUAACUCCUUUUCUUUAACCUAUUGGUCUCAUUCAGAUAUGUAGCAUCCAUUUUUAUCCUGUUUUGCUCAGAAAUAUGAUAGAUUACUGAUUGUGUCAGCCUGUUGAGAACUACAAACAGAGGCCUGCUAGAUCAACACUGAGGAUUUUUUCAUCUUAAGUCAUUCAGCCAACAGUUUAAACGAAGGCUGCACAAUCUGAGGAGGAAAUGUAUUUUUCUGAUUAAAAAUUGCCAUUUAAAAUGUAAUUUAAAAAAUCCAAGUGCUUGUUUAUAGGGCCAAAAUUUUGUGAUUAAACAUCAAUAUGGCUAUAAAACAACACCAGCAAUAAUGAUGAUUGUUAUUAUUAUUACUACUGAAUAAAAACUAAAUAAUUGCAAUAGUAAUAUAUACUCUAAAUUAAAAAAAAAAAAUCAAGUACUUAAGAAACAUAAUAAUUUUAUUUUACAUUGUAACUGUAAAAGUACAAUACUAAUACUUAUUGCCUUCUUAAUAUCUUAAUUUUUGAAUGUUGAACUUUUAUUUUGAACCACAGCCUUAUUGAUGAGCACACUAAGCCACUAAGGCAUAUUGCAAUUUUGUUUAUAUUUUGAUUAAUCGAGCAGCCCAAGUUUAAACUGGGACAUGUUUAUGUUUCUUUACUGAACUGUCAGGACACACCUAAAUAAGAGCGCCUGAACAUCCCUAACAUGUCCAAAAACGAGUGUAGAGAAUGGCACAAAUGCUCUGUCAUCCGAGCAGCCCUUCUCUUCCUGCGAACAGCUGAGGAGUUACAGAGGCCUGGCGUUAACCCAGCGUUCAGAUCGCCACAUCAAAUAUUCAACAGGUGCCUCUGAACGUGAGCUGUUUGUGUGUCUGAGACGGUAAGAAAGGCGAGAUAGAUGAAUAUGUGAAGAGAGAGUGUGUUUAUGCUUAUGGGAAUAUCCAAGGAAAGCCCACCUAUCCGCACUUAUCUGUGGAGGGUCCAACCGCAGGAGAAUGAACUCGGAUGCAUCUGAAUCGGUGAAACGAUGAAAUAGGGAGGUGAUGACAGCUAACGUGUGGCUAGUACUUGACCUUGUUGACCUCCAUAGUUCUGCCUCACAGUAUCAACAACAGAAGAAAUGUUCAAGAGGAAGAGAAUGCACAAGGUAUGAAGCAAGGAAGAUUCAGAAUUUGAAUGUGGAAAUAUUUACCUAGUUGGCUCAGGGUUUAAUUGGUUAGUUGGGUAAUGGAUUAUGAAUUUGUGUGCUUUUGUUUUUAAGACGUAAGAUUUGAAUCAGCUUUCAAGAGCAGCUUACUGUAUGUUGUAUUCAACAGCGUCUGUCAGAGAAACACAAACCAGUCAUGGAGAACACAUACUGUAUGAGGUUACCACAAGAGAAACGGCAUGGAUUGGUGGUUUUCCAGGCUUACUGACUAGUAAAGAAGGUUUGAUGUGGUAGAAAAGAAGACUAGUGCAAGUUUUAUCAUUCAGCAGAGAAGAGGUGCACUAGAAAGACGUGGUUGAUUAGUGAGUUUCCAUUUCAAGUUUAUCUCAGGUGAACCCGUAUGCCAACCGCCAGGUGUGUUGUUUGCUGUAAAUCCUACAGCGGGUCCGUCAGGUGCGUGUUUGCAGAACAUCACUGCAGCCUUGGUUAAAACCAGCUACGUUUACCGUCGCUACAUGCAGUAAUACCCACAGCAUUAUAUGUGGAACACUUGAAGGUUGAAAUGUAGUUUUUUUUUUUUUUUUUUUACUGUGGGUUGAAUAAAAGCUUGCUGCCUCUUCGGAGAUCCAGUUUAGAUUUUGUUUUAACACAAUAUUCAGAAGGGAAUACUUACAGGCAAGCGUGAC